UGGUUAGGUAACGGCUUACCAAGCCAUUGAUCGGUACGGGUUGUGAGAGCAAGAGCCCGGAGAUGGAACCUGAGACAAGGUUCCAGGCCCUACGGGGUGCAGCAGGCGCGAAACCUCCGCAAUGUGAGAAAUCGCGACGGGGGGAUCCCAAGUGCCAUUCUUAACGGGAUGGCUUUUCAUUAGUGUAAAGAGCUUUUGGAAUAAGGGCUGGGCAAGACCGGUGCCAGCCGCCGCGGUAACACCGGCAGCUCUAGUGGUAGCAGUUUUUAUUGGGCCUAAAGCGUCCGUAGCCGGUUUAAUAAGUCUCUGGUGAAAUCCUGUAGCUUAACUGUGGGAAUUGCUGGAGAUACUAUUAGACUUGAGACCGGGAGAGGUUAGAGGUACUCCCAGGGUAGAGGUGAAAUUCUGUAAUCCUGGGAGGACCGCCUGUUGCGAAGGCGUCUAACUGGAACGGUUCUGACGGUGAGGGACGAAAGUUAGGGGCGCGAACCGGAUUAGAUACCCGGGUAGUCCUGACCGUAAACGAUGCGGACUUGGUGUUGGGGUGGCUUUGAGCUGCUCCAGUGCCGAAGGGAAGCUGUUAAGUCCGCCGCCUGGGAAGUACGGUCGCAAGACUGAAACUUAA
rnacentral:rRNA from 1 species